UGGGGAAUCUUGCGCAAUGGGGGAAACCCUGACGCAGCGACGCCGCGUGCGGGAUGAAGGCCUUCGGGUUGUAAACCGCUUUCAGCAGGGACGAGGCCUUAUGGUGACGGUACCUGCAGAAGAAGCUCCGGCUAAAUACGUGCCAGCAGCCGCGGUAAUACGUAUGGAGCAAGCGUUAUCCGGAUUCAUUGGGCGUAAAGCGCUCGUAGGCGGUCUGUUAGGUCGGCAAGUUAAAUCCGGGGGCUAAACCCCCGUCCGCUUCCGAUACCGGCAGACUUGAGUUUGGUAGGGGAAGGUGGAAUUCCUAGUGUAGCGGUGGAAUGCGCAGAUAUUAGGAAGAACACCGGUGGCGAAGGCGGCCUUCUGGGCCAUAACUGACGCUGAGGAGCGAAAGCUAGGGGAGCGAACAGG
rnacentral:rRNA from 1 species